GGUUGUGUAGUGUAAUGGUUCAUCACUCCAGAUUCUGAUAUAGGAUCUUCUGGCAAUCCCGGUUCGAUCCCGGGCACGACCU